UCUGUAGAAGGUGCCUCGGGUGCGACUCCGGUUCAAGUUCCUUGGAACAGGGCGUCAUAGAGGGUGAGAAUCCCGUACGUGCCCGGCAGUCAACCCCGUGUGAGGCCCUUUCGACGAGUCGAGUUGUUUGGGAAUGCAGCUCUAAAUGGGUGGUAAAUUUCAUCUAAAGCUAAAUACCGGCCCGAGACCGAUAGCGCCCAAGUAGAGUGAUCGAAAGAUGAAAAGCACUUUGAAAAGAGAGUUAAAAAGUACGUGAAAUUGUUGAAAGGGAAGCGCUUGCAACCAGACUCGCGCGCGGGUGUUCAAUCGUCCUUUCGGGGCGGUGCGCUCUCCCGUGCCCGGGCCAGCAUCGGUUCGGGCGGUCGGAUGAAGUCCCUGGGAACGUGAUUCUCUUCGGGGAAUGUUAUAGCCCGGGGUGUAAUGCGGCCAGCCCGGACCGAGGACCGCGCUUUUGCUAGGAUGCUGGCGUAAUGGUUGCCAGCGACCCGUCUUGAAACACGGACCAAGGAGUCGACCAACUUCGCGAGUGUUUGGGCGUUAAACCCAUGCGCGAAAUGAAAGUGAAUAUGGUACGAGCUUCGGCGCAGUAUCGACCGAUCUUGAAAUUUAUGGAUGGAUUUGAGUAUGAGCGAAAUUGGUCGGACCCGAAAGAUGGUGAGCUAUGCGUGAAUAGGGUGAAGCCAGAGGAAACUCUGGUGGAGGCUCGCAGCGGUUCUGACGUGCAAAUCGAUCGUCAAAUUUGCGUAUAGGGGCGAAAGACUAAUCGAACCAU
rnacentral:rRNA from 1 species